rnacentral:rRNA from 1 species
GGAAGUAAAAGUCGUAACAAGGUUUCCGUAGGUGAACCUGCGGAAGGAUCAUUAUUGAAUUUUAAUGAAGAGUUUGGUUGUAGCUGGCCCAUUCAUUUGGGCAUGUGCACACCUUUCUCUUUCAUCCCACACACACCUGUGAACCUGUGAGACAGAUGGGGAAUUUACUUGUUGCUUUUUGGAAUACAAAGGCAAUAGGUUAUUGGACCCUCUGUCUACUCAAUUAAUAUAAACUCAAUUUAUUUUAAAACGAAUGUAAUGGAUGUAACACAUCUCAUACUAAGUUUCAACAACGGAUCUCUUGGCUCUCGCAUCGAUGAAGAACGCAGCGAGAUGCGAUAAGUAAUGUGAAUUGCAGAAUUCAGUGAAUCAUCGAAUCUUUGAACGCACCUUGCGCUCCUUGGUAUUCCUUGGAGCAUGCCUGUUUGAGUAUCAUGAAUUCUUCAAAGUAAAUCAUUUGUUAACUCAAUUGGUUUCACUUUGGUAUUGGAGGUCUUUUGCAGCUUCACACCUGCUCCUCUUUGUUCAUUAGCUGGAUCUCAGUGUUAUGCUUGGUUCCACUCGGCGUGAUAAAUUAUCUAUCGCUGAGGACACUGUAAAAGGUGGCCAAGGUAAAUGCAGAUGAACCGCUUCUAAUAGUCCAUUGACUUGGACAAUACCUUUAUGAUCUGAUCUCAAAUCAGGUAGGACUACCCGCUGAACUUAAGCAUAUCAAUAAGCGGAGGA